GAUGAAGAACGCAGCGAAAUGCGAUACGUAAUGUGAAUUGCAGAAUUCAGUGAAUCAUCGAGUCUUUGAACGCACAUUGCGCCCCCUGGUAUUCCGGGGGGCAUGCCUGUCCGAGCGUCAUUGCUGCCCUCAAGCACGGCUUGUGUGUUGGGCCGCCGUCCCCGGUUUCCCCCGGGGACGGGCCCGAAAGGCAGCGGCGGCACCGCGUCCGAUCCUCGAGCGUAUGGGGCUUUGUCACCCGCUCUGUAGGCCCGGCCGGCGCCAGCCGACACCCAACUUUAUUUCUAAGGUUGACCUCGGAUCAGGUAGGGAUACCCGCUGAACUUAAGCAUAUCAAUAAGCGGAGGA
rnacentral:misc_RNA from 1 species